GGGUUGUGAGGUUAAGCGACUAAGCGUACACGGUGGAUGCCCUGGCAGUCAGAGGCGAUGAAGGACGUGCUAAUCUGCGAUAAGCGUCGGUAAGGUGAUAUGAACCGUUAUAACCGGCGAUUUCCGAAUGGGGAAACCCAGUGUGAUUCGUCACACUAUCAUUAACUGAAUCCAUAGGUUAAUGAGGCGAACCGGGGGAACUGAAACAUCUAAGUACCCCGAGGAAAAGAAAUCAACCGAGAUUCCCCCAGUAGCGGCGAGCGAACGGGGAGCAGCCCAGAGCCUGAAUCAGUAUGUGUGUUAGUGGAAGCGUCUGGAAAGGCGCGCGAUACAGGGUGACAGCCCCGUACACAAAAAUGCACAUGCUGUGAGCUCGAUGAGUAGGGCGGGACACGUGGUAUCCUGUCUGAAUAUGGGGGGACCAUCCUCCAAGGCUAAAUACUCCUGACUGACCGAUAGUGAACCAGUACCGUGAGGGAAAGGCGAAAAGAACCCCGGCGAGGGGAGUGAAAAAGAACCUGAAACCGUGUACGUACAAGCAGUGGGAGCACGCUUAGGCGUGUGACUGCGUACCUUUUGUAUAAUGGGUCAGCGACUUAUAUUCUGUAGCAAGGUUAACCGAAUAGGGGAGCCGAAGGGAAACCGAGUCUUAACUGGGCGUUAAGUUGCAGGGUAUAGACCCGAAACCCGGUGAUCUAGCCAUGGGCAGGUUGAAGGUUGGGUAACACUAACUGGAGGACCGAACCGACUAAUGUUGAAAAAUUAGCGGAUGACUUGUGGCUGGGGGUGAAAGGCCAAUCAAACCGGGAGAUAGCUGGUUCUCCCCGAAAGCUAUUUAGGUAGCGCCUCGUGAAUUCAUCUCCGGGGGUAGAGCACUGUUUCGGCAAGGGGGUCAUCCCGACUUACCAACCCGAUGCAAACUGCGAAUACCGGAGAAUGUUAUCACGGGAGACACACGGCGGGUGCUAACGUCCGUCGUGAAGAGGGAAACAACCCAGACCGCCAGCUAAGGUCCCAAAGUCAUGGUUAAGUGGGAAACGAUGUGGGAAGGCCCAGACAGCCAGGAUGUUGGCUUAGAAGCAGCCAUCAUUUAAAGAAAGCGUAAUAGCUCACUGGUCGAGUCGGCCUGCGCGGAAGAUGUAACGGGGCUAAACCAUGCACCGAAGCUGCGGCAGCGACGCUGAUGCGUUGUUGGGUAGGGGAGCGUUCUGUAAGCCUGUGAAGGUGUGCUGUGAGGCAUGCUGGAGGUAUCAGAAGUGCGAAUGCUGACAUAAGUAACGAUAAAGCGGGUGAAAAGCCCGCUCGCCGGAAGACCAAGGGUUCCUGUCCAACGUUAAUCGGGGCAGGGUGAGUCGACCCCUAAGGCGAGGCCGAAAGGCGUAGUCGAUGGGAAACAGGUUAAUAUUCCUGUACUUGGUGUUACUGCGAAGGGGGGACGGAGAAGGCUAUGUUGGCCGGGCGACGGUUGUCCCGGUUUAAGCGUGUAGGCUGGUUUUCCAGGCAAAUCCGGAAAAUCAAGGCUGAGGCGUGAUGACGAGGCACUACGGUGCUGAAGCAACAAAUGCCCUGCUUCCAGGAAAAGCCUCUAAGCAUCAGGUAACAUCAAAUCGUACCCCAAACCGACACAGGUGGUCAGGUAGAGAAUACCAAGGCGCUUGAGAGAACUCGGGUGAAGGAACUAGGCAAAAUGGUGCCGUAACUUCGGGAGAAGGCACGCUGAUAUGUAGGUGAAGUCCCUCGCGGAUGGAGCUGAAAUCAGUCGAAGAUACCAGCUGGCUGCAACUGUUUAUUAAAAACACAGCACUGUGCAAACACGAAAGUGGACGUAUACGGUGUGACGCCUGCCCGGUGCCGGAAGGUUAAUUGAUGGGGUUAGCGCAAGCGAAGCUCUUGAUCGAAGCCCCGGUAAACGGCGGCCGUAACUAUAACGGUCCUAAGGUAGCGAAAUUCCUUGUCGGGUAAGUUCCGACCUGCACGAAUGGCGUAAUGAUGGCCAGGCUGUCUCCACCCGAGACUCAGUGAAAUUGAACUCGCUGUGAAGAUGCAGUGUACCCGCGGCAAGACGGAAAGACCCCGUGAACCUUUACUAUAGCUUGACACUGAACAUUGAGCCUUGAUGUGUAGGAUAGGUGGGAGGCUUUGAAGUGUGGACGCCAGUCUGCAUGGAGCCGACCUUGAAAUACCACCCUUUAAUGUUUGAUGUUCUAACGUUGACCCGUAAUCCGGGUUGCGGACAGUGUCUGGUGGGUAGUUUGACUGGGGCGGUCUCCUCCUAAAGAGUAACGGAGGAGCACGAAGGUUGGCUAAUCCUGGUCGGACAUCAGGAGGUUAGUGCAAUGGCAUAAGCCAGCUUGACUGCGAGCGUGACGGCGCGAGCAGGUGCGAAAGCAGGUCAUAGUGAUCCGGUGGUUCUGAAUGGAAGGGCCAUCGCUCAACGGAUAAAAGGUACUCCGGGGAUAACAGGCUGAUACCGCCCAAGAGUUCAUAUCGACGGCGGUGUUUGGCACCUCGAUGUCGGCUCAUCACAUCCUGGGGCUGAAGUAGGUCCCAAGGGUAUGGCUGUUCGCCAUUUAAAGUGGUACGCGAGCUGGGUUUAGAACGUCGUGAGACAGUUCGGUCCCUAUCUGCCGUGGGCGCUGGAGAACUGAGGGGGGCUGCUCCUAGUACGAGAGGACCGGAGUGGACGCAUCACUGGUGUUCGGGUUGUCAUGCCAAUGGCACUGCCCGGUAGCUAAAUGCGGAAGAGAUAAGUGCUGAAAGCAUCUAAGCACGAAACUUGCCCCGAGAUGAGUUCUCCCUGACUCCUUGAGAGUCCUGAAGGAACGUUGAAGACGACGACGUUGAUAGGCCGGGUGUGUAAGCGCAGCGAUGCGUUGAGCUAACCGGUACUAAUGAACCGUGAGGCUUAACCUUACAACGCCGAAGCUGUU
rnacentral:rRNA from 1 species